CCCAGGAAGAGGAGGUUCCCAUGCAGCAGCCAGGGGCCCAGGGAGUCAGGUCGGGGCCCAGCUGCCCCGCCUGAGCCGCCAUGUCCCCCAGUUACCACCAUGAAAUGUGGGGCCCACCGCAUCGCCUACAUGUUCCUGGCGGAGGUGGCCUUGGGCAGGGAGCACCACAUCACAGCUGACGACCACAGCUUGAAGCAGGCCCCCCCUGGCUUCGACAGCGUCGUCGCCCGAGGCCGCACGGAGCCUGAUCCCACCCAGGACACGGAGCUGGAGCUGGACGGCCGGCGAGUGGCAGUGCCCCAGGGCCGGCCCACGCCCUGCCCCGAGUUCAGCAAUUCCUCCUUCUCCCAGAGCGAGUACCUCAUCUACCAGGAGAGCCAGUGCCGCCUGCGGUACCUACUGGAGGUGGGCUUCUGAGAGCCGCCCUCAGCCCGGCUCUCCGAUAGACUGCCGUCUCAGUCUUCGCCCAGACCCAGCGCCCAUGUCACCGCUUCUCGCUCCCAAAUCUCCCUUCUGUGUCCCAGGCAGUGGUCCCGCCCCCUCCAAUCCCCACUAGCCCUGGCCUGGCUGUGGCCCUGAGUCUCGCCUGCUAAGGUGACAGGAGUGAGGGACUGGCGUUAUCCCAGGGUCACAUGCCACAGCCUCUUCAGGGCUGUGUAGAGGGGCACAAAGGUAGAAAUAGAGAAAUAAGUGGUAGAUGUAGAGAAAUAAGUGGUAGAAAUAGAGAAAUAAGUGGUACAUAUAGAGAAAUUAGUGGUAGAAAUAGAGAAAUAAGCAGUAUUUCUGCUUAAGGAGGUAGAAAAUAAAAUAGAAAAUAGGAGAUACAAAAUAAGGUAGAAAUCUCCUAGGUUUUGUUUAAGCCACUGUAAAGCCAAAGAUGGCUGUGGUUGAUGUUGUUUGAGGAAGUAAUUUUUAUUUCUGACCUAGAUUGUAAGCUCUUGCGGCAGUUGCAUUGUUUCUGGGCUCUGGUUAUUUUUGCUUGUGUGACCUGAUAGCUCGCUGGGACUUUGGGUCUGUGUGAGACGCCAGACUCCGAGUUGGAGGUCUCCAGCUCUGCAGGACCGAGGGCUGCUCAUUUCCAUGCAGCAGCGGCUAAAGAAAGAAGCUGAGAAGGGACCAGACUUCCACCGGCGCAGAUGGGGCUGAUUUGACUGGGACUGGUGCUGGCUCGGUCCCAGGGCCAACUGUCCAAACAGCCUGAUCCAGGGGACUAGUUUUGCAUCUACGACAUCUUCGCAUUGGCGGCAUUUUACUACGCAAGUGACCGGAGGUAUCAACAUGGAAUCAGCUGAAGAUGGCAACUGAGGCCAAGCGGAUGUUAGAAAAGCAAGAAGUGGAAGCUAUGCUAACAUUGGUGAACUGCCAGUUUUCUGAAAAAUCUUGUGGAGCUAAAUCUAAGGACUCCAAGUAAGAUAUCCUGAAAAUGUUAACAUGUCUGAAGUUUGGUUUUGCAUUGGCA